UACAGAGGGGGCAAGCGUUGUUCGGAAUUACUGGGCGUAAAGGGCGCGUAGGCGGCCUGCUAAGUCGAACGUGAAAUCCCUGGGCUCAACCCAGGAACUGCGUCCGAUACUGGUUGGCUUGAAUCCGGGAGAGGGAUGUGGAAUUCCAGGUGUAGCGGUGAAAUGCGUAGAUAUCUGGAGGAACACCGGUGGCGAAGGCGACAUCCUGGACCGGUAUUGACGCUGAGGCGCGAAAAGCCAGGGG
rnacentral:rRNA from 1 species